ensembl:lncRNA
AUGGGAACUGGAGCCCAGAAUGAAAGUCAGGACAUCUGCAGCGUCUUUAUUGAUAAUAGAACAUGUGGGCUGACGGACCUGGUGGAACAUGUGGCCACUGUCCUGCACUGCGCAGCACGCUCGAACCUCACGCUCAACGAAGAGACGCUCUCGAGAGUCCUCCUGCAUCUCUCCCAGAACCUCAACGCUCUACUGCAGCAGCUCUCCAUGACCGUAAGAACUGCCAGAUCUCACAUCAGCUGUGUACAAACCAAUGCAUUCAAUGAGGAAUGUUUUUUCAAACAAAUUCCGUUUGCAUGUUGCUUCUUGCCGCUCUCCCAGAACUUCAGUUCCCAGAGUUCCCCCUUCAGUGACAUCCUGGACCAAAUGGUUCAUGACACCUUGACGAUGAGCAACUUGCAGGAUGAGUCGUUUGUGAGAUUGUGGUUCCAGAUCAAGUUAAAGCCUCUUCUCUCCACGCUGACUCCAGAAUAUCUCACGUGCCUCAGUCACAAAGAGUUCAGCUGCCAGACCUUCCAGAUACUGUACGUCCGCUGCACGCACAAGUGCUAAUCCCACCCGAUGACCUCCGAUCUCACCCGACUUUCAUCAUGUCCUUUCAGUGUUUCAGAGCUCAGUGCCAACAUGUUCCUGAUGCAUGAAGAAGAAGGUGUGCAGGAUGUUUAUCAGUAUUUCAUCUCAUCCUUCCUGAGCCGACAAAAUGUUUCAGGUACAUCUAUCCAUCUGUUUAUCCAUCAGUUUAUCCAUCCAUCCAUCCAUCCAUCCAUACAUCCAUUCAUCUAUAAAAAUAUAUUGGCGACAUGUUUUCAGGUGGCUGCCCAGCAGAGAACAGCAGCAUCUGGGUUACUCUGAAUCUUGGGGAAUUUUCAGAGUUUGCAGCGUUGAGGGAAAUGUACCAGCUGAACCAAGACUUCAACGCUGUGAGUUACACACAAUCCCACCGACAAGAACAUCUCAGUUUGUUUUAUUCAAACUCUAAAAUGUCAAUUUAUCUCAAUUCUUGACCUUCUCAUCUGAUUUCUGUUAAAGGGGUCAUGAAUUGCCUUUUUUUUUUAUUCUGUACGUUCUUUGAGGUCCACUUAUAAUCUUAUCAAGAUUUUUACAUCAAAAAACAUCAUCAUUUAGAAGUAAUAGGCUAUUAUCUGUUCUGUUUUAACCCCCUCAUCAGAGCGCUGUGUUUGAACAGACGUGGUGACCACGUUAUAAAAACAGUUACUCACACUUGUGACAUUACUGUCGGAUCCAAUACAGUCACACAGCAUUGUCUUUUAGUUUCAAUCUUUCUGAAAAUCCCACGUCGAAUUGUACCUUGUUUUUAAACUUGAACAAAGGUCCGAGUUCUUACUGACACAGUCUGGAACUUCAUUAAAAAUAAAGUUCAUCCACUCUUUCCUAAUGCUGGGAUC